UAUGUCAGCAUUGGCUGCAACGUGUCUCCUCAUUGGCUAUUGCCUUCAGGAGGAGCGCAGAGAGGCGGAGUCUCUGAGGAGUUCCAUGGUAUCAGAAAACACUUAAACCAAGUUUGAAGCGUUGCUUCGGUUUGCCAGUACCAGUGAGAAAAUAUCGUUACCGAAGAGGUCUGGAUGCUAAAGCAAACCCUGGAGCUGCUUUUUUGUCGAACGGAAGUGAGAGUGGACGCUGAACGCACCUGCGGCGCGAAGGUUUACUCGUUCAACUGCUGCAACCUGGACAGGAACACCAGCUCUCACCUUACAAAUCAAACAGGUGUCACCAUUUUGUCCAUGAUUGCGGAGUCUUUGUACAAUGAAGAAGUUCUUUGAGACCAGGACUGAGGCCUUCAGGAUUCAAACUUCAACCAUUAAAGCACAGAGAGAGGAGACAGAUGUGAAGACAUUUCCAAAAGGUCUUCAGCUGCUGUCGUCUUCUCCUCCUGCAGAGACAAGAACACGUGUUAAUCACAGAAAAUGAUCAGUAAAUCAAAAUAUUUUUGCAACAUACUAUUCUGACAUUUGUUGAUGUUUUUAUGUCUUAACAUACUAUGACGGAGGAACUAUCUUAAAGUAGCCAUCUUACCUUUGUGUAGAGGUGUGAGCGUGUGGAAAACAGUGUUUGUUGGUUAGGUUAGAUUUUCAAUUUGCUAUUUCAAACAGUGCAAUAUCAGUAUUCAAUCUAUUACUGUGUACAUAGUUCUGUUCAUAUUGUUUAUUAUUUUUAUAUAUUAUCUUGUUAUAUAUAUAUAUAUAUUUUUUUUUUUUGCUGUUGCAACACUGAAUUUUCCCACUGAGACUGAUAAAAAAUUAUCUUACUCAAAUAAAUA